rnacentral:rRNA from 1 species
UACGGGGGGGGCAAGCGUUGUUCGGAAUUACUGGGCGUAAAGGGCUCGUAGGCGGCCAACUAAGUCAGACGUGAAAUCCCUCGGCUUAACCGGGGAACUGCGUCUGAUACUGGAUGGCUUGAGUUUGGGAGAGGGAUGCGGAAUUCCAGGUGUAGCGGUGAAAUGCGUAGAUAUCUGGAGGAACACCGGUGGCGAAGGCGGCAUCCUGGCCCUAUCCUGACGCUGAGGCGCGAGAGCGUGGGGAGCAAACCGG